GGGGCAGUAGCUCAGUGGGAGAGUGGAAGAUUGCAAUGACCGAACUGGUUAAUCAAAUUGCAAGCUAUCUUUAGGUCGCCGGUUCGAUCCCGGCCUGUCCCU